ensembl:processed_transcript RIKEN cDNA 2610307P16 gene
GUUAUUCAAAAUGAGCUGUGGGGCUGUGGCUGUAGAUUUGUUUUCAGGGUGUGUCCCCGAGUCUCGUGAGUAGCACAUGGCAGUUGCUGUCACCUCGGGCUGAGCCGUGAAGAUUCUCACCCUCCCUUGUUGGCGAUGGACUCCGGGACUCUGAGGAGACGUCAGCAGGUAUUUCACAGACUCUUCCCGUUGGGGGAUCUGUCUGAUCCUCUUCUCCUGAGUAGACUGGGCUGUACAUUUCCCCAGGGGUGAAACAUGGAAGCCCUCUCCGGGAUGCAGCAGGUAGCUGAGGAGAAAACGAAGAAUGAACAGCCCAGAGCUCAGAGCUUCCUCCCAUGCUCAGGAAUUACCACCAGUGCCAUUACAUCGGCCUCUUCUUGUAUGUCUCUGGAGACCACAUGUGUCCUCUCUUUGUAAUGGUUUGGCUAUGGUUGCUGGCCCUUCUUGGACAUUGCUUUCAGAACUUAAAGAAACAUUGCUUUAAAGGUUUAUUAGAACAUACUUAAAAUAAAAUCAUCUUCUUCUCAUUUAGUAUGCAAUUGAUUCUUCCCAUUUCCUCAGUCAAAACUCAUUGAUCAAAUUUACUCCUUGAGAAAUCCAGACAUGUAUAUAGCAUAUUGGGGUUAUUCCCUCCCUCCCCCAUACUCUUAUCUCCCUUCCACCCUGACAUCUUCAAUCCUCCCUAUGGACCUAUUCACACACUCAUGUCUUUCUGUUUUAUGAACCAUUGAUUUUAACCAGGGCCAUCUGUGCUACCAUGGCUUUAGAAUUAUCUACUGGAGCUGGUUGGCUCAAAAUAGAUAAUGACUUUCCCUUUCCCCAAAUCCAUCAUAGCUAGGAGUUCAGCCCCUCCAGUCCCCUCCCCAAUCCAUGAUUGACUGUUAGAAAGCCCAGUUUUAUGCAGUCCCAGUGUAGGUACCCAUAGGUACUGUGAGAUCACACCCUGAAGGUGUGUAGCCCUUUUCCAUGUCUUCUGUUUCCACUUCUGUGUUCCCUGAGCCCAAGAUGGGAUAGUAUGAAUGUCCUGACAGUCUGAGAUAAUAACCAAUAGGAAACGUAGUAUAAGCACUGUACAUGCUAAAAAAUAUGUAGCGAAUAAUAAACGGCAUUCUAUAAAUUCAGGGCCAUUGCUCUAUGUCAAUGUCAGUGGCGCAUCAGUUCCAAAGGGUUUGCAUCACUGUUAAGUUAGAAAUAAUCCACUCUAGCUUGUUGUACAGUGCAUUUGUCCAGAUAGCCUACAAAAAUG